rnacentral:rRNA from 1 species
GACGAACCGUGCGAACGUUGUUCGGAAUCACUGGGCUUAAAGGGCGCGUAGGCGGGUGUCCAAGUCAGGGGUGAAAUCCCUCCAGCUUAACUGGAGAACUGCCUGUGAUACUGGACGUCUGGAGGGUGGUAGGGGCAGUGUGGAACUUCCGGGUGGAGCGGUGAAAUGACGUUGAUAUGGAAGGAACGCCGGAGGCGAAAGCGACGCACUGGAGUCUCUUCUGACGCUGAGGCGCGAAAGCCAGGGGAGGCAAACGGG